GGGAGGCCCUUUUGGUGGUGGCUUGGCAUGCUAAGAGCACCACAAUGCUGACAUGUGAAGUAUAGAAAAAAAACCUUGGCAUUGGCCGUCUUUCCAGAGUAUUCUCUGAUUUCUUGUGAACUUUGGCACUGGUCUCCUUCAUGUCUCUCUGAUUCACAUCUGCUUUCAUCUGCUACUUUAGAUUCUCAUCUGUGCUCGUGGUAUCAGAGCGCUGCCAUAUGCUGUGACGUUGCUCUGUGUCAGUGUAAUGGAGGCGCCUGUCUUUGGCUGGAAAAUUUUCAUUGCUUUGUCCCAGGCUAAUUCUGGAUCUUCCUGCAGCACCUUGCUAAAUGUCUUUUUAUCCCAGAUCUGAAUUAUGUCUCCUGUUAGAGGUCCACCAAGCUUCUCAAAGUUCAGUGAGGACCAGAGAAAAGAAAGGAGGUGUGAUGGCUCAAGAUGAAUUGAGCUGUGGAGAAGGUGUGGCUGGACCGAUGUAUUCUGGUUGGUAACACGGUGAGCUGUCAACCCCUGGAAGACAUUGAUGGAACUGGAUUCUCUUGUUCCUGUGAUAAUCUCCGCUGUUCUUCCUGUGUGUCCCCUAAUAACGUCUCAAGCCUGUUCCAGUGGUGGGACAGUUGUCCAUGGAAAGCCAUGAGCCCCUGAUCAUCUCAUCCCUGGCAGUGUGCAAACAGAAAGCAGAAAAGAGAGUCAUUCCCCUCCUCAGAUAAACUCUGACCUAAUUUGGGCUAAUCCUGGGAAGGGCAAGUGCCAUGAAAGUGACUGGGGAGCUUCGAGGGGAAGAAGAAACAGAAGAGCUUUGUGUGACAGUCUGAUGCAAGUCAAAGCUUAGUCACGUAUUUGCUCAGCAUUGAUGACACUAGCCGCUCUACAUUCAGCCUUAGCUUAAUUCCUUCAAAUAUUGUCUUGUUUUGGAGGUUUUUUUGAUGGAGAAAGAUUGGAUAAAAACAUCAGCUUCAACACAUAGUUCUGCUUAAAGUAAGCAAAAAUCUCCAGAGCGCAAAAUCCUGUCCUGCCAGUAGUUUUUGCCUGAGUAUGGAUAUUGUAGACCUUUUCCUUCACAAUUAGAAGAGAUUUUUUUUUUCUUCCUUCUGUUAUGAUCAUCAUACAGAGACGAAUGAGCACGUUUUGUGCCCUGGCUCCAAUUAUACUGAGGUAAUACUGAAAGGUUGCAGAGGGCACAAAGGUCCGAGUAUUGUUUUAGAAAUGAGACGUCUCAAUGUUGAUGUAUUAGUAAGCAGGGAAAGCCCAAGGGUUAAGUUCAUGACUUUGCCGUGCACUUGAAUGCGAGACCCACUAGCUUUGAUGCUGAGUAAAGACUGUGAUUCAAGUUGUGAUGUCCCUAUGUAACCAGAGUGAUGGAAUAAACCAACCACGGAUGUUGCUAUAUUCCUUGUACAGCCCUGUCCAACUGGGCUGGGGUCUGGGGACAUGGAGUACACAGAUCAGUGUGUUCCUUGAUCUGUAUUUUACUCUCUAGGUAAUCAUUAAUGCGAACGAAACAAUAGACAAUAUGCUUCUGUCAGAAGAGGAUGACAAAAUGUGGUUCCAUGUAGUGGACUAAGAAAACUGGCCAGGACUGCCAAGAUUAAGAACCAAGUAAGUAAAAGACAAUUCCUGCAGGGGGGAGAUCGCGACCACGGACUCACGGACCACCUACCCAAGUAACACCACCUACUCAAAGGAGAACAAUGGGAAAGGACAACUGAGUCUGUGCAUUAAUUUACAUGUGAAGCGAGCAAGUUUGUGCCAGUCACCAAAGCGAAAAAUACUGAAUAUGUACGGAUAAAAUGAAUAUGUAUAUUUUUGGUCUAUAUAAAUCCCAUGGGAAAGGUGUGUAAGGUAUACACGUUAGGGGGAGCGAUCCCCCGUGCAUCCGGCGCUGUGAAUAAAGAAUGGCUGCCUUUUAACACUACAUUGGUGUUAUGAGGUUUAUUCCCAAUUUCAGUGACACCUACAUCAUUUCUAAGGAUGUCUGCAAGAAAAGAAAUUCAGGAGUUUGAGCUGUGAGCAACAAGAGAGUAAAACAAGUCUGAAUAUUGUUUUAUCACUUCUUGUGUUCUUGAAAAACAAAAUUUAUAUUGGGAAAUGAGUAAAAGAGAACACUCAGAGAAU